UACGUAGGGGGCAAGUGUUGUCCGGAUUUAUUGGGCGUAAAGAGCGUGUAGGCGGCCUGAAAGGUCAGCUGUGAAAACUCGAGGCUCAACCUCGAGACGUCGGUUGAAACCAUCUGGCUAGAGUCCGGAAGAGGAGUGUGGAAUUCCCGGUGUAGCGGUGAAAUGCGCAGAUAUCGGGAAGAACACCCGUGGCGAAGGCGGCACUCUGGGACGGUACUGACGCUGAGACGCGAAAGCGUGGGGAGCGAACAGG
rnacentral:rRNA from 1 species